rnacentral:tRNA from 1 species
UGCGGUGAUGGUGUAAUAGGUAAACACACGUAUUCAAAAUACGAGUAUCGCAGGUUCGAACCCUGCCACCGAAA